AGACAGGCCACCAAAUCCUACUUGGGCUUAGCCGAGAAAGAUGCCGAGACAACCCCAAGUUCUCCUAGCCGAGAUCAAUCCAUUCCAACAUUCCGGGUCGGCGUGCUUAUCCAGCCCUUAGCCGAGAUUUUUUCUCCUCCAUGGCCGACAGUUGAAAACUUACUACUGCCGAUAUAGAUGCCACCUGUGACUUGGAUAAUACACUCCUUUAAACUAACGGGAGGAUAAGGCAGGAGUUACUGCC
rnacentral:lncRNA from 1 species